rnacentral:misc_RNA from 1 species
CAUGGCUGUGAAGGUAAACAAAUGGGCAUGCCUCUCCUCCCCCAGCUCAUCCCCUCCAAUCCCUAACAUUGAUUUUUAUAUAUUUCUUCCUGCUCAAAUAUAAAAGAUGAUACAAAUGAUGGUAAAUCAAACUAACCUCUGGAUCAUGGUUUUGAAUAACGGCCUUUACAUAAUGAAUGGCUAGGGUACCAUUACCAAUACCCCCAUAAGUAAUGGGCAUUUAAAUUUCAGGCUGGUGACAACCUACUACGGCCAUUAAUGCGUAUCACUUAAAGGUGACAGAAUGAACUUUGAUGAUAACUACCUAGCUAUUUUAAUUUUAAAUUGAUUAAUACUAAUUAUGUUUAAGAAUGAUGGAUUUAAUGUCUU